GACAGAGGGUGCAAACGUUGUUCGGAAUUACUGGGCGUAAAGGGCGCGUAGGCGGCCCCUUUUGUCGCGUGUGAAAGCCCCGGGCUCAACCUGGGAGGUGCGCGCGAAACGGGGGGGCUUGAGUUCGGGAGAGGAGAGUGGAAUUCCCAGUGUAGAGGUGAAAUUCGUAGAUAUUGGGAAGAACACCGGUGGCGAAGGCGGCUCUCUGGACCGAGACUGACGCUGAGGCGCGAAAGCGUGGGGAGCAAACAGG
rnacentral:rRNA from 1 species